rnacentral:rRNA from 1 species
CCUACGGGGGGCUGCAGUGGGGAAUAUUGGACAAUGGGGGGAACCCUGAUCCAGCCAUGCCGCGUGUGUGAAGAAGGCCCUCGGGUUGUAAAGCACUUUCAGUGAGGAAGAACGCCUGGUGGUUAAUACCCAUCAGGAAAGACAUCACUCACAGAAGAAGCACCGGCUAACUCCGUGCCAGCAGCCGCGGUAAUACGGAGGGUGCGAGCGUUAAUCGGAAUUACUGGGCGUAAAGCGCGCGUAGGUGGCUUGAUAAGCCGGUUGUGAAAGCCCCGGGCUCAACCUGGGAACGGCAUCCGGAACUGUCCAGCUAGAGUGCAGGAGAGGAAGGUAGAAUUCCCGGUGUAGCGGUGAAAUGCGUAGAGAUCGGGAGGAAUACCAGUGGCGAAGGCGGCCUUCUGGACUGACACUGACACUGAGGUGCGAAAGCGUGGGUAGCAAACAGGAUUAGAUACCCUGGUAGUC